GUGCCAGCAGCCGCGGUAAUACGUAGGUGGCAAGCGUUGUCCGGAAUUAUUGGGCGUAAAGCGCGCGCAGGCGGUCUUUUAAGUCUGAUGUGAAAGCCCCCGGCUCAACCGGGGAGGGUCAUUGGAAACUGGGAGACUUGAGUGCAGAAGAGGAGAGUGGAAUUCCACGUGUAGCGGUGAAAUGCGUAGAGAUGUGGAGGAACACCAGUGGCGAAGGCGACUCUCUGGUCUGUAACUGACGCUGAGGCGCGAAAGCGUGGGGAGCGAACAGGAUUAGAUACCCUGGUAGUCC
rnacentral:rRNA from 1 species